rnacentral:lncRNA from 13 species
AUGAGGAGCCUGUUUUUUUUUUUUCUACAACUAUUUUAUCAAAAAAACGAAAAGGGACAGACGCAGGGGUGGGGGAUAGGGGACGAGAACAAACAGGGGAGGGGGAGGGGGGCACGACUGCUGGGUUAUGUUGCCAUCCCAGCUCAGGACUCUGAUAGAGAGCGGGAGCGAGAACGAGACGCAGAGCGAGAUUUGGAGCGAUCCUUAGCCGCUGAUCUGGAGCGGGACCUGGAUCUAGACUCCUCCUUCCGGCUCUUCUUCCCUUCUUUCUUGCUGCUCUUUUUGCUCUUGCUGCGGCUCCUGCUGCGGCUCUUGCUGCGGGCCCCGCGCCCCUCCUUGGCCUUGUGGGCACCGUUGGUGCGCUCCUCAUCUCUGCUGCUCUUUUUGCUCUUGCUGCGGCUCCUGCUGCGGCUCUUGCUGCGGGCCCCGCGCCCCUCCUUGGCCUUGUGGGCACCGUUGGUGCGCUCCUCAUCUCUGCUGCCCUUGGUCUUGUCCUUCUUGCUGUGGGAGCGGCUACGUGAGCGGGAGCCAGCACCCCUGGGAAAUAGAAAGGAGCAGACAGUUACCGCAUAUGCACUUGAAAUGAGGCGAUGUAGAAAUAGCCACCACUCCUAGCACUAGCUGGUUAA